CAGCUCAGCAGGUACAGCUAGAAAUCAGGAUCCUGUAAAGACUCCCAGGUGGGAGACUAUGACUCAGAGGGUGAAAUGACCUGGAUGAAGUCUGUCAGCAGCAGACCUGAGAGCCAAACCUCCAAAUUUCAGCUCAGCAGCUGCCUGUUCUUUAGACCUUUGUAUUGUGAAAAGAUGUGGUUACCUUGGGGAGUAUGAUGAGUGCAGGUCAGAAUUUGAACUGCAGGUCCAGAAAGCAUGUAGCAGGUCACCCAGAUAACAGAAUGGUGACUGGUAGGAGAGGCGAUUUCUGGGGCUGUGCCAUAAACAUGGCCUUGGAGCACCCCCAGUCCUUGGAGCACCUCUUGACUGAUAGCAGGCUUAAUUAGAACCAUUAAUUACAUCUGUGGUUCUGAUCUGUUGCUAAUAACUCUGGUGACAGAUUUCAUGAACAAGUCUGGCAUUUAAGUUUGUUCUGCACUUUUGGCAAUUUUUUGGUCUACUGUUUCUCUGAAAUGGCUCUACCUGAUUCACUUACCCCACACCACCUUUGCCCUCCUGCAUACACUUAACCUUUCCUUCCUAGUAAGCAGUAGUGUAAAAAUGUCUUGGCUGAAAUGUUCACAGAGCACUAGGAGUUGAGCCUCCCAGACCAUGUAUGUUGGCCACAGCGUCACAGCUGGUGGAGGACACAUCUGAGGUUGAAGACUGACUCUUUGGAAAGAGGCACAGAGUGUUGUUUCCCAAAAGCAGGACAUGGAUAGUGGGGAUGUUUGGCUAGCCCCUUGUAAGACUCAUGUUUUGAUAUCUACUACUGAGUCCUGCCUGAGACAUACUGUCCAUCAGAUACCCUGCCAGUUCCCACAUUCUCCCACCCUCUUGUCUGAUCUUCUUCCCUUGUUUAAUCACCUUAAGCUUAUUGUCAAUGAAAAUUCUAAAUUAAUGAAACAAUAAAAGUACCAUAAAAGUUAAGAGAAAUUAAGAAUUCAGAAUAACUGGGAAAAGGCUCACCUAAGGCAAAUAGUGAACAGGAGCAGACCUGUGCCCUAGGACCUGUGUAUCUAACACUGUUCAGGAAAGGGCUGGAGGUGUUGGGAAGGCUAGCAGGGAAGGCAGUUUGCAAAGUUCUCUGGUUGGAGUGUUCAUCUUUGGGAUGGACAUUUACAGCAAAACCAAGUAAAAGUGCAAAAGGUGGGGACUUCUUCUAUAUUCAACAGUCUGGCUUUUUUGCUGCUAGUACACGUUACACCAUUUUGGUAGAUGCUACCUUCCACUCCUUUUAAGAGAUAUAAAUAUCCCUCUUUUCAACUGCACUUGGCAACCAUCAUGAUCUACUGGGAAUUAGCUUUCUGAAAAGUAAGCUUUUUGUGGUGUUGGGGUGUUGGGGUUUUUGUAAGCUUGGGGUGUUGGUGCAGACAGCCUGAGGCAGGCCGAGUUGGUGACAGGAUCUGUACCCAACUACCCAGAGGAUGGACUUUUCCCUAUGUCUCAGAGGCUGGGCUACCUCAGCUCACUGCCACCGUAGGGUAAGCUUGUCCUACCUGAGCAUGGCAGUUCUCAGGCACCUAAACAAUGCCCAAGUAAUGCCAAGUGUCAUUUGAAAUAUGAUCCGUUAUGUAUAUACGUGUGUUAAGCUAUGCAUUUUCUUAUAUGUAUUUCUACAUCUAUGUAUACAUCUACUUACGCAUUUUUCAUUCACAUACUUACGUAGGUAGGAGAUAUGGCCGAUGAAAAGAAGCAGUGUACCACUAGAUGGGGCUGCAGGAGGAAAAAGAUGAAUGUGGGAUGGAUUAUAGGCAAUUCAUCAUGAUCAAGCUGAGUUGUGUGUUUAGUAUCCUGGCUGUGUGGAAUCUUUAUUGAAAAAGAUCAGCCAUAAUAGUAGCUUGCAGCACCUGUAAUCUCACCACGGGAAGGGAAGCAAGCAUGAUUUCAAGCCAAAAUGCACAGUAUUUUACCAGGAAGAAAAACAUUGUAUCUCUUCAAUUGUAAACUCUGGGUGAAUGUGCUUAUACAUUCAGAGCAUAAGGCAGAUGGUAACAAACCACAUGCUUGUGGAUUAUCCCACUUUUUCCACAUUUGCAUUCUCAAAACCACUUUUGGUGCCCGUGGUUUAACCUCUGUUUCCCUAACUCCUGUUUAUGAGUUGAGUGGUCACAUGUCAUCAUGUUGAGUGGGAAAGUGUGUACAGGGGAUAAGGAGGUGGAAGUGAUUCCAUAUGGUGAAACAACUGACUAUGCCAGAGUAUUAAAACAAAACAAAACAAAACAAACAAACAAACAAACAAACAAAAAAAACAGAAAGAGGAAAAAGCAAAAGUAAAAUCUUUUGAAGAGAUGGGGAAAUGAAAUGCUGAAAAAAUCUGAAAUGCUUUUGACUUCAUAUGAAGGAACAGUCAUAUGCAUGUGAAAGGGAAACUUAUGACUUGGAAUGCUGAUGAUAUAAGUUUUGGUGUUUGCAGCAAGGGCGAAGGUUAGACAGAUUUACCUUCCUCUGCUCUGCACAAGAUUCAUGCUGAAGGCUGAGAUUUCAGUCAGGAGACACUAGGCCCCUGGAAGACUGUGAAACUGCCAACUGUAUUUUUUCUUCUAAUUUUAAGCUGCUAACUAGAAUAAAAAAAAAACAACAACACAAAACAACAAAAAUUCCUUUAAAGCAUUUUCUACAGUUCUGUUCACAAUAGUAUUAUGAAGUAAGUGGGGCAAUGUUAAGUAUGUACUUGCACUUUGUUGAGACAAUUCAUUAGCAAAGCCAGUUCUUACGCUUCAGGGAAAGGCGAACAAAACACAGCAGAUGUCCUUUAUUCAAAGUGGGUAACAGGGGUCAAAUUUUUUUAUACUACUAGAUAAGACAGGAAUUAUCACAAAAAUAUGGAAUAAACAAUGUUUUUAUUUUUUUUAUUAUUUUUUUUUUUAUCCCAGGUUCGAAU